CCUACGGGGGGCUGCAGUGGGGAAUAUUGGACAAUGGGCGAAAGCCUGAUCCAGCCAUGCCGCGUGUGUGAAGAAGGCCUUCGGGUUGUAAAGCACUUUCAGUGGGGAAGAAAGCCUUGGGGCUAAUACCCUCGAGGAAGGACAUCACCCACAGAAGAAGCACCGGCUAACUCCGUGCCAGCAGCCGCGGUAAUACGGAGGGUGCGAGCGUUAAUCGGAAUUACUGGGCGUAAAGCGCGCGUAGGCGGUCUGAUAAGCCGGUUGUGAAAGCCCCGGGCUCAACCUGGGAACGGCAUCCGGAACUGUCAGGCUAGAGUGCAGGAGAGGAAGGUAGAAUUCCCUGUGUAGCGGUGAAAUGCGUAGAGAUCGGGAGGAAUACCAGUGGCGAAGGCGGCCUUCUGGACUGACACUGACGCUGAGGUGCGAAAGCGUGGGUAGCAAACAGGAUUAGAUACCCCUGUAGUC
rnacentral:rRNA from 1 species